rnacentral:rRNA from 1 species
ACGGGUGAGUAACACGUAUCCAACCUGCCGUCUACUCUUGGACAGCCUUCUGAAAGGAAGAUUAAUACAAGAUGGCAUCAUGAGUCCGCAUGUUCACAUGAUUAAAGGUAUUCCGGUAGACGAUGGGGAUGCGUUCCAUUAGAUAGUAGGCGGGGUAACGGCCCACCUAGUCUUCGAUGGAUAGGGGUUCUGAGAGGAAGGUCCCCCACAUUGGACUGAGACACGGCCAA